AGUCCUCCUCACCUGGGUGUGGUCGUGCACCUGUAAGAGCUUCGUGAGUUCUCAUCCGCCCUCUCCUUUCCUGGACCCCAGCCGCUGGAGAAGCUUUAAAAAAAUACCUUUCAUGAGGAACAAAUGCCAUUAGCGUGAAGACUGUCUUCUGUGGUUUUGAGGCAAGAUAUUAAGGCAGACGUUUGCAUUUUCCAGAGACAGGUGCCAGAACGUAGCGAAAGAGAACAUAGUACAAGUCUCCAAAUGAGUGCCAAAGGCUUUCUACUCGAAAGGAUGUCUGUCGAGUCUGUGCACUACGUAAAGUGAGAAGAACCUUGGCCCCUGGUGACCAAAAUAAGGGUAAGAAGACUGCAAUUCAGCGUCUGCAUGGCCCAUCUCCUCUCCAGGCGAAACAGUACGGAAGAGGGGACCAUCCCCUGCCCUGUCACUGCUGGCACUCCGGUGCAGCUGGCCGGGUGACUGCCUGGUAGGUCCGCGCGGUGGCCGCUGUUAUCGGGGCACCGUGGAAUCGCCCGGAUCCGAGGCCUGCAGAAAGUUCAGCGAUCCCGAUCUCCUCCUCAGGCUCGACUCCAACAUCGUGGAACAUUUUGUGUCACUUGGCACUGUGUUUAUUCUAGAAAAUGGAAUAGAAGAACAAUUUGUCUUGGCCUUAAGGCACUUUAUUCAUUUGGUCUCGAUAUCAAGGUUAAACAGAACUCGACUGCACUUCAGCCUUUAUAUUCACAAGGUUAAACGUAACAUAUGCUCCGUUCUUGGGCCCUAAUUACGCUCCUAACCAUUUGCCUCAUGUAUCAUAACUCCCGAGUAUGCUGCGAGAGGAAGAAAUUAGAAAUUUAACAAUUUUUGAAAGACUCAAAAUCCAAUUAGAUAAUCAUCUGAUUUAUAUGCUAAGUCUUCACAGUGAAGCACAAUGCAGAAAAAUGAGCUGUAAUUGUUUUGGGAACGUUCCAGAGACACCAGAAAGACAUCAUUUACAAUAAAUUAUUAUGGCUUC